rnacentral:rRNA from 1 species
CCUACGGGCGGCUGCAGUGGGGAAUAUUGGGCAAUGCGCGCAAGCCUGACCCAGCAACGCCGCGUGAAGGAAGAAGGCUUUCGGGUUGUAAACUUCUUUUGAGAGGGAAGAGCAGACGACGGUACCUCUUGAAUAAGCCACGGCUAACUACGUGCCAGCAGCCGCGGUAAUACGUAGGGGGCAGGCGUUGUACGGAUUUACUGGGUGUAAAGGGCGUGCAGCCGGGAAUACAAGUCAGAUGUGAAAUCCCACGGCUCAACCGUGGAAAGGCAUGUGAAACUGUUUUUCUUGAGUACCGGAGAGGUCAGCGGAAUUCCUUGUGUAGCGGUGAAAUGCGUAGAUAUAAGGAAGAACACCGGUGGCGAAGGCGGAUGACUGGACGGCAACUGACGGUGAGGCGCGAAAGCGUGGGGAGCAAACAGGAUUAGAUACCCGGGUAGUC